CUACGGGAGGCAGCAGUGGGGAAUUUUCCGCAAUGGGCGAAAGCCUGACGGAGCAAUCUCGCGUGAGGGAUGACGGCCUAUGGCUUGUAAACCUCUUUUUUCAGGGAGUAAUAAAUGACGUGUACCUGAAGAAUAAGCAUCGGCUAACUCCGUGCCAGCAGCCGCGGUAA
rnacentral:rRNA from 1 species